ACCGGCUCGCCUCGGCUGCAAGCCUACUUCGAGCCGUCCACCGACGUCCUGAUGACCUACGCGCAGAUGAACGCUGAGGGACGAAAGCUAGGGGAGCGAAUCGAAGUAUAGACCCCAGUAGUCCUAGCCGUAAACGAUGGAUACUAGGCGCUGUGCGUAUCGACCCGUGCAAUGCUGUAGCUAACGCGUUAAGUAUCCCGCCUGGGGAGUACGUUCGAGGGAAUGAAGCAGACACAUCUCUGAGCCCCCGAGCGUUGACGUCGUCUCGUAUGCCGUGUUCUGCUGGUAC
rnacentral:rRNA from 1 species